CCUACGGGUGGCAGCAGUGAGGAAUAUUGGUCAAUGGACGUGAGUCUGAACCAGCCAAGUAGCGUGAAGGAUGAAUGCCCUAUGGGUUGUAAACCUCUUUUAUAUGGGAAUAAAAUGCUGCACGUGUGGGAUUUUGUAUGUACCUUAUGAAUAAGGAUCGGCUAACUCCGUGCCAGCAGCCGCGGUAAUACGGGGGAUGCAAGCGUUAUCCGGAUUUAUUGGGUUUAAAGGGUGCGUAGGCUGUGAGGUAAGUCAGCGGUGAAAUGCCCGUGCUCAACGGGGUGAAGUGCCAUUGAUACUGCGAGGCUGGAAUGCGUAUGCCGUGGGAGGAAUGUGUGGUGUAGCGGUGAAAUGCAUAGAUAUCACACAGAACACCGAUUGCGAAGGCAUCUCACGAAUCCACGAUUGACGCUGAUGCACGAAAGCGUGGGUAUCAAACAGGAUUAGAUACCCGAGUAGUC
rnacentral:rRNA from 1 species